rnacentral:misc_RNA from 1 species
GAUGAAGAACGCAGCGAAAUGCGAUAAGUAAUGUGAAUUGCAGAAUUCAGUGAAUCAUCGAAUCUUUGAACGCACAUCGCGCCCCUUGGUAUUCCGAGGGGCAUGCCUGUUCGAGCGUCAUUAUAACCCUCAAGCUCAGCUUGGUGUUGGGGCCUGCUGCAGUGGCAGCCCUUAAAAUCAGUGGCGGCGCCAUCUGGCUCUAAGCGUAGUAAUUCUUCUCGCUAUGGAGUCCUGGUGGAUGCUUGCCAUCAACCCCCAAUUUUUCUAUGGUUGACCUCGGAUCAGGUAGGGAUACCCGCUGAACUUAAGCAUAUCAAUAAGCGGAGGA